AUUCAGCUCACGAGUCCCAGAUAAAAUGAAACGCGCGUCUUGAAU
rfam:Schistosoma mattheei strain Denwood, Zambia genome assembly, scaffold: SMTD_scaffold0003743